ACUCCCUUAGUAUAUAGUACAAGUGAUUUCCACUCACUAAGUCUUAGAUUAACCCUAAGAGAGAGUA
rnacentral:tRNA from 1 species